rnacentral:tRNA from 1 species
CUGAAGUGGCCGGCGCUACGGAUGGCGCGGCCGUCACCGGCGCAUGGGACGCCAGGUGCGUGGCCAGCCGCUCGAUCGUAUCGAGCCCUUCGAAC